rnacentral:piRNA from 1 species
UAUCCACAGAUAGUACUGAAACCCAGG